rnacentral:rRNA from 1 species
AGCGAACGCUGGCGGCAGGCCUAACACAUGCAAGUCGAACGAAGUCUUCGGACUUAGUGGCGGACGGGUGAGUAACAAGUGGGAACGUACCGCUAGGUUCGGAACAAUUCAGGGAAACUUGAGCUAAUACAGGAUAAGCCGUUCGGGGGAAAGAUUUAUCGCCUUUAGAGCGGCCCGCGUUAGAUUAGCUAGUUGGUUGGGUAAAGGCUCACCAAGGCUACCGUCUAUAGCUGGGCUGAGAGGAUGAUCAGCCACACUGGGACUGAGACACGGCCCAGACUCCUACGGGAGGCAGCAGUGGGGAAUCUUGCGCCAUGGGCGAAAGCCUGACGCAGCCAUGCCGCGUGAAUGAUGAUGGUCUUAGGAUUGUAAAAUUCUUUUACCAGGGACGAUAAUGACGGUACCUGGAGAAAAAGCCCCGGCUAACUUCGUCCCAGCAGCCGCCGCGG